rnacentral:rRNA from 1 species
CCCUUAGAUGUUCUGGGUCGCACGCGCGCUACACUGAUGCAUUCAACGAGUUUCUUCCUGGUCCGAGAGGAAUGGGUAACCUUUUGAAAGUGCAUCGUGAUAGGGAUAGACUAUUGCAAUUAUUGGUCUUCAACGAGGAAUUCCUAGUAGACGUAGUUCAUCAGACUGCAUCGAUUACGUCCCUGCCCUUUGUACACACCGCCCGUCGCUCCUACCGAUUGAAUGCUCAGGUGAGCCAUUCGGACUUUCAUCAUGCUGGUUUCCAGUUUUGAUGAAGGAAAGUCUUGCGAACCUUAUCAUUUAGAGGAAGGAGAAGUCGUAACA